AAAAUAGUAGACAUUUGACUUCGAAUCAGAUAAUGGUUAAUACCCUAUUUUA
rnacentral:tRNA from 1 species